CCUACGGGGUGCACCAGUGGGGAAUAUUGCACAAUGGGCGCAAGCCUGAUGCAGCCAUGCCGCGUGUAUGAAGAAGGCCUUCGGGUUAUAGAGUACUUUCAGCGGGGAGGAAGGUGUUGUGGUUAAUAACCACAGCAAUUGACGUUACCUGCAGAAGAAGCACCGGCUAACUCCGUGCCAGCAGCCGCGGUAAUACGGAGGGUGCAAGCGUUAAUCGGAAUUACUGGGCGUAAAGCGCACGCAGGCGGUCUGUCAAGUCGGAUGUGAAAUCCCCGGGCUCAACCUGGGAACUGCAUUCGAAACUGGCAGGCUAGAGUCUUGUAGAGGGGGGUAGAAUUCCAGGUGUAGCGGUGAAAUGCGUAGAGAUCUGGAGGAAUACCGGUGGCGAAGGCGGCCCCCUGGACAAAGACUGACGCUCAGGUGCGAAAGCGUGGGGGGCAAACAGGAUUAGAUACCCGAGUAGUC
rnacentral:rRNA from 1 species